rnacentral:rRNA from 1 species
GACGAACGCUGGCGGCGUGCUUAACACAUGCAAGUCGAACGGAAAGGCCCUGCUUUUGUGGGGUGCUCGAGUGGCGAACGGGUGAGUAACACGUGAGUAACCUGCCCUUGACUUUGGGAUAACUUCAGGAAACUGGGGCUAAUACCGGAUAGGAGCUCCUGCUGCAUGGUGGGGGUUGGAAAGUUUCGGCGGUUGGGGAUGGACUCGCGGCUUAUCAGCUUGUUGGUGGGGUAGUGGCUUACCAAGGCUUUGACGGGUAGCCGGCCUGAGAGGGUGACCGGCCACAUGGGGACUGGGAGGCGGCCCAGCCGACUACGGGAGGAAGCGGGGGAGAAUAUUGCACAAUGGGCGGAGGCCUGAUGCAGCACCGCCGCGUGCGGAAUGACGGCAUUCGGGUUGAAAACCGCUUUCGCCUGUGACGAAGCGUGAGAGACGAUAUAGGGAAAAAAAGCACCGUCUAACUACG